GUCUCCAGGAGCAGUAGAGCCCUGAGAAGCCAUAUGUUCAGAUACGUCGAAGAAACAUUAUUACUUGGAGAUGUGUGCACAGUCAAGUCCAUAAUACUAUUAAAUACUGUGACCAACAAUUCAUUUCAGAAAAACAUCAUGUAUAAGAGAAAGGAGAAGGAAUUUGUAUAACCAAAGAAAGAACUGGUCACGUGCUGCUUCUAAAGCCAGAAGAGAA